rnacentral:rRNA from 1 species
UACAGAGGUCUCAAGCGUUGUUCGGAUUCAUUGGGCGUAAAGCGUGUGUAGGCGGGCCCGUAAGUGUCUUGUGAAAUCCCACGGCUCAACCGUGGAACUGCUGGGCAUACUGCGGGUCUUGGGCCAACUAGGGGCAGCCGGAACAAGCGGUGGAGCGGUGAAAUGCGUAGAUAUCGCUUGGAACGCCGAAGGUGAAAACAGGCUGCUGGGGUUGCGCCGACGCUGAGACACGAAAGCCAGGGGAGCAAACGGG